rnacentral:sRNA from 1 species
UUAUAUUAGAGUAUCCUAAAAAAUAUCGUUCUGAAGCGACUAAGAGCAUGAUUAUAGGUGAUACUCAUAAAGUAUCACUAAAAAAUGUUUAGUAUUAUUUAUAAUGUUUGUUUAAUAGAUAUAUAUAUAUAUUUUUUUUGUUUUUGGUAAAUCUGAGCAAUCAGAAGAUGGCACGUCAGAUGAUACUAGUAUCACAAAUAUCACUGGACUGAUACUCAUCAACCUCAUUCCAAUUGUUUUGUCAAU